CUAAAGCAAACAUUAUAAGGAAGAUGAUGGGGAAAACAACUGAAAAUUUUGCGUUAGACAUUUGUAUUUCUAGAUUUAGUUACUUGUUUAUUGAAUAUUGAAAGACUCUAAAUUUUGGGUAACACUAAGGAGAGAUUUAUAGGAUGAUGAGGUGACCAUUAUAACACAACUAAUAAUAAUAAUAAUAAUUAUAUUUUUGGAAAUUUGACUGUAAUUAUGAUAAUAAUAUAUAAAUAUGGAAUAAUGACAGGGCGGUGCUCUGACCGAUUGAACUAUUAAUUAUGCCAUAUGAAUAAAAAAUAAAUUCAACAACUUUUUAACUUUUAACAUCUUUUAACAUACUUAGAUUUGACUAGUCUAUCACAAAUUUAAUAGUUCACUGACCAUAGAUCUACUUAAUAAUAACAGAUUUUUUUUUUUCAUUUUCAAAGAUUUUAUUCUAUUUGACCAAAGAAUUACUUAAUUUAAUUAUUUAAUUUUCAAAAAUUUACUAGUAUUUGAAAGAUUUGUUUCCUUUUAACUAUGUACUAGAUGUUUAUUUUCACCUUAUACAUAUUGAUAUUAUUUAAAAUGCUUAAUGGUUAUUAUUUUUAACAUUUUCAUAUAUUUAAAUUUUUAUAUCACUUUUAAAGACUGAAAUAAAUAUUUUACAUACACACAUUAAUUUUUUUGUUAUAGACUAUAGAUAUAUAUAUGUGUGCAUUUGAUUAUUAGAUAAUGAAUAUAUGUAUAAAAACAAUACAUGAAUAUUAUUUUGUAUUUUACUUGUUAUUACUUUUAUGUGUAUGAUCAAAAUAGAAUAUUAAAAAAACGUAAUGCUAUAUAUAUUUAUUUAUUAUUAUUUUUUAAUUCGAUGAUGGUAAUGAAAACAUUGUUGGAGAUGGAGAUGGGUUUGUGGAGCAUGCGGAAUAGAUGGACAAUGACAUUGGUUUUGUGCUUGCCACCAAAGUUCCAAGAGCAAUAGAUCAAUACAAUUACAAAUUUGAACAAAAAUAGAGAUAUUGUGGACAUGGAGUUUGAACCUGAUGUUUUUGAAGAAGAUCAUGUCUAAUUCAUGAUUCAUAACCUCUUUAGUAAGAUCAAAACAUUAGGGCUUCGAAUGGAGAAAGCGGAUCAAGCGUUGUUGAUCUAACAGAUCUAGCGGACUGAGCGGAACAAGAGUGGAUCAAGCGGAUCGAGCAGUUCAAGUGUGGAUCUAGCGGAUCUAGUGGUUCAAAAUAUAUAAUUGAAUAGUGAAAGUGGUCCCAAAUACUGUACUAAUUUAAAUUAAUCUAUAUAAAUUUUAUAAUAUUUAUUUUUAUAAUUAAAAAGUAAUAUUUUAGAAAUACUUUAUAAAUGAAAGAUAUAAAAUUUUAUUCAAAAUAUAAUAAAAAUAUUUUAAAUAUACAAUUUUAUAUUAAUAAUUAUUUUUCAUAAUUCAAAUUAGUUAUUGUAAUAAUUGUUUUAUAAAUUUAAUUAGUAAAAUUUUAUUCAAAAUAUAAUUCAAAAUAGUUUAAAAAUAUAUUUGUAAAAUAAUUACUUUAGCAUGUGUAUUGCAUAUCAAGUGGUUCCUUUACUUUUUUUAACAAAAGAUAAAUAUAUUUGAACUGCUUGUGGUUCCUCCAUCUUAUUUAAUUAAUAUGUAAAAUUUUGUGAAUGGAAAUUAUAAGACAGAGGCUACACAUUAGGGUAUGAUUCACCUUUGCUCCACUCCCCAUUCUCAACCUAGAUUUACCUUUCCCUUGCCUGGGUUUAUUCACUGUCUUUGCCAUUUUGCCUUUGAAAAUUCAAAGCAAAAAUCGAGACGAGUUAACGUCAGAUUUGGCAAUCUUAGAAGCUGCCUAGUGGUUUCCGGGAAGUUUCCAUUAUAAACUAAAAGACGCAACUUAACAAUCAAUAUAGAGAACUUGCUAAAAUGCGCUUGGCAGAGAAAGUGUUAAUAGUUAAUAACUUAAAUACUAAAGGGGCAAAAUAAUUGUCCGACAAAAGCCAUUCUCACAAUUAUAUGCUCAUGUUGAAAGAUAAAUAAUACAUCAUCAUGUGUCGUUAUCAUGGAAUAAAAGCAAAAGACUUGAGCUGGUUCUGCGCAUUUUAAGGUGAAUUAGUACUUCAUUUGCUAUCAUACGCUUGUUUAACCAAACCGAACCUUCUUCGCGGGUUCCUCAGCAGCUCGUCCAGCCUCUCCUUAGCCUCUUUGGCUGCUCCGACGAGCUUCUCAUCGUUAUCAUCACUACGUUUCAUUACCGAGAAGGAGACAUAGGCUUGGUCGUGAUUGGUAGUGUAGAGAGAGAACGAUGGUCGCCGAGUCCAGAUCUGUCCUGUUGCUGCCACGACAGAAGCCGUGUUGGAUAAGUCAAUCGGUGGAGCACCGCCGUGGAAACGCCGUCUCCUCGCGCACUCAACUCCGGGAAGCAUACCAGCCAUAGCUUUUCUUCUUGUCUUGUAGCUACAAAUAUUUAUCACAAAUAAUUGAGGACAGCAGUAUGGUAUACAUACUCGAUAAUGAUAUAAAGAUGCGUUAAAUUAGGGAGAUACAAAAAGGUAGUUUUAAAUAUAUAGAAUAUUUUUAUAUAACAUCACUAUCUAUAUUAUUAAACCAGAAUCAUUCUUAGGAUUAUGUCCCUGAAAUUUUCUAUUAAUUACAAAACAUUCCAUUACCUUUUCAAUUGUUUUUAAGGCUUUAUCAAAAAUUUAAAGCCCACCACUUCCAUACUUAGAUAAACAAUUAUGUGUUUAUUAUGUGUUUACAAUGUGUUUACAAUGGUUUAUUAGAUAAAUUUCUAUCAAACAAGUUUAUAUUAUAUGGGCUUUACAUUAAAUAUUAAACAUAGUUUUUGAAGUUAUAUAAAAAUUUCACAUUUAUAAUUAAUAAUUUCACAUUUACAAUUAAUAAACAUAAACAUAAAUUAGAUAUGAAUGUAAUAGAUGAUAUCAAUACACCCUGUCUUAGUUUAAAUAAUAUUAAAAUUCAUUUAAAUAUUUUAAUAAUUUAUAAGUCAAUGUAAAAAUUAAUUUUACUAAAAAUAAUUUUAAAGUUAAUUUCUUACUGUAUUAUUCAGUAAAAAAAAUAAUUAUUUCACAAUACUAACAUUUUGUAUAGAUGAAAAAUUAACGUAAAACAUAAAAACAAAUGCUAACAAAAAUCAUUAAGACACUUGAUAUAUAUUUUAUGCAUAAACACAUUUGUUAUAAUAAUAAAUAUGUCAAAGAAAACAAACCUGCACUUUGAAAGCGGGUCAAAAUCUUGUUUCUCUUUAUAAUUUUGCUUUAAUCAAAAAAUUUAUAAUUUUUAUAUAACAUCACUAUUAUAGUUUUUAUAAUUUUUAUAUAACAUCACUAUUUUUAUAUAAAUCACUAAUUUUUAUAUAAUAACAAAUCCACACAAUCUUUCAUGCUCAUUCUAAUUACACACAUUUUAAGUAUGUGAACCUAUUUACCCCUAUUUUCAAAGAUGGAAACCCAAAUCCGCAUAAUGCUUUAGAUGAGAACUAAAACCGACACUGAGCAGGUGUAGAUUGGUUUACUAUUUCUCAAUUUCAGUUUUAACCUGGUUUGUUUUAACCAAUUAGUAUUAGACAAGUUAACCCACUGUUAAACCCAAUCAUAUUAAAUCUCAAAAAUACCAAACCAUAAUUAACUGUAUCUUCUGUAACCCUAUCCGAUCUCCAUCUUCUUCAACCUCGUCUUCUUCACCCGACCAUAUCAAUAUGAAAACAAAAAACUAAUAUGUUAACUCCAGUCCUUAAUUAAAUCUGUCUUCAUAAACGUCUUGGUUGGGUGAAACAGAGGAUUUGACAUGGAGUCCAUUUUUCCGACGAGCACUGGUUAUAAUCAAUCGCGACGUAAACGGAAGAAGAAACAGCUGUCACCACCACUGUCUCAAUCGUUGGUUCAGUUAUGGAGAUCAGAGAAGCAACAACAUAUCUACUCUACCAACAUCAUUCAAUCUCUAAGAGAAUUUUGGAUUAGCGCCGCCGUGGAUACAUAGCAUUCCCACCUCCUAGCAGCAGAGGUAUAGCCUUACGCGAUGAUGCUCUUGCGAAAAAGGCUCUGCAACAUUCAAAUUUCUGAUUUUUUUAAUCUUCCUCCUGUUUGGUUAAUUCUUUUCAUGUAUACAAUUUCAUCUAAUAAAGCUUGUUGUUAAAAAAUGGCAAUGAUGAGAAGAAGAAGAAAAUGAAAUUGGGUCAUUUAUGAAUUGAAUUUUGGUUUGGUUUGGGUUUAUUUGGAUUUGGUUCUCUUUGGCUUUGGGUUAUUAAUUUAGUUUGGUAUUCAGUUUAUGAUGUAAACCAAGAAAACCAACGGUUAUGUGGAUUCAGGUUUCGAUCUUUGAAAAUGGGGAUAAAUAAGUUUAUAUAUACUUGCUGAACGUAAGAUGCGUUGAGCGGUUGUGCGGGUAUCGUGGGCUUGACAUUAUGGAUUUUCUGAGAAGAAUUGUCAUAUAGCCUCAUUGGUGAUCCAAACUGGCUUGAAGAACACAAGAAGAAUGGGCAAAGUGUCGCUCUGAUUUUAGGAAAGAAGGGACUGUCUAUAUGCUAAGAAUCAUCACAAAUCACUGAGAUCACCUUAGCUUCUAUUUUUCAAGCAGCAUGACUCCAAAAUUCUAAGCACAAAAGGUAGUUAUUUUUACAAUUUUGCACUCCAAAUAACGUACAUCUAAGUCCUAAUUACCUACCUAAAUUUGGUUUGUUGAAAUCCAUCCGUUUUUUUGCUGCACUUUACGCUAUAUAGAAUAAUUCUUCGUAUAAAGACCUGUUGAUUGUAAGUCCUUAAGAAAAUGUGACAAAAUGAAAACAGCCUGUUGAUUGUAAGUCUUUAAGAAAAUGUGAAAAAAGUAAAAACAAAGAGAAUGUCUUGUAUUAUCUUAAGGAGAAGUUUGCAUAUAAUUAACAUUAGGGAAAGAAAGAAUAGGAAGACCCGCUCCAUGUCAUUGCUGUCGGGACUAAGCUAUCUUUCACCCCAGACGUGGAGUACAGUUAUUCGAAAACACAAGUUCAAGUUGACCUAUAUCAACUAAUCAAGUAUAAAUGGGAAGAACUAUGUGCUACUGAACAGUGGGAUAAAGUGAUAAAGCUUGGAUAACCUUAUUGUAGCCAUUUAUGGUGUUACUUCUAGGAACAGUUACUAUAGGAUUCAUUGAGUCCAUGUCUUUCUCCAAUGAAGGCUGGACUUAACAUCAUAUAGAUGAGAGCAGUUCUAUUGAGAUUCUUGAAAAUUAAUAUUAUUGAAAACAUGCAAAGCACGCAGGUUAAUAGUUAUAUGUUUUUAGUUAUAUAUAUUGGUAAGAUAAUCAGAUGUAACGAAAAACUGUGUUUCUAGGAGAACAGAAAAUGAAUAUAGUAAAAUAAAAUAUAACGAAAAACUCAAGAAACUAGUAACGGUUGGUUAUAAAAAAUACUACACUAAUACAAGAAGAAAUAUUAGAUUUCCAUCAUUGCAUAUGUCAAUCUGGAAAACCAAGAAGACCAUGAAUAACCAAAAAGAAUUGUCACACUUUGAUCUACUACAACCUCCAAACAUCAAUUACAAAGAGAGCCCCGCACAAAGUUAUACACCACCCACUUCAAUUAUUUUUUUUAGUCAAAGGUUUGAAAACAAACUAUAAUAUAUAUAGUUGUAGAUAUAAAAGUUUAAUCUAUGUUAAAUUUAUUUUGAUAUAAAAUAUUAUAUGGUUUACAAGUUUUAACUCAUUUCAAUGAUGAGUGAUAAUUUAUUUAAGUGAAAUAAUUUUAAAAAAAAACUAAAUUUGUUAAAAUAUAAUUUUAUCAUAUUUAAUUCCUAAAGCACUUCUCUUUUUAUAUAAUACAGAAUAUAAUUAUAGAAUUUAUAUAAAAAUAGUAGAUAAAUUUAAUUUUCUUGUUUUAUAAUAAACUUUUAGUUAAAAUUGAUCUACAACAAUAUUAUAUUACUAAUUACUAAAUUAAUUAAUAUGUUAUUUUAUAAAAAUAUUUAUAAAAAAAAUCAAAUUUAUAGUUGCUUUAUUAUUAAUGUAAAUAGUCAAAUAUAUCAUAUUCUCUAAUUUUGACAAAGUGAGCAUACUAUGAUUUGUUAGUGGUAGAUAAAAAAAAGAAUCAUAAAUUAAUAGAUUAGAUGUCAAAUCACUUCUCAAAAGUAAUGCGUAGGAGAUAUUUGGUUAUCUCUAGUUGGUGUAUAAAUAAUCUAAAUAAACCCCCAAAGAUUUUUUGAAUAUCCAACUCUAGUUGUUGGAGUACAGUUUUUUAUUGGUUUAAUUUGAUUUCAUCAGUUUGCAUCAAACUUUAAAUCCUAUUUAUGUUUAGCUCUAAUUUUAAUUUAAAAAUCUAACUGCAACUAGUUUUGUGUUCUAUAAAUUUUAUUGAUAUCAAAGGUUCACGAAAUUAUUAUUUAAAAUAUGAAAUAUUGCAGCAACUAUGAUUAUGAUAUUCAACAUAUUAUUUCUUCAUAUUAAUUACCAAUAACAUUUCAUUUUAAAGGUUUGGUGGAGGAUUACAAGGAAAGUCGCAAAUACAAGCGCCACCUUCAUAGCGGUAAUCACAAUGAGCCUCUGCAUGUCUUCCAUAAGAACUGCAUCUUAUUCCGCAUUUACGGCAAUCGCCAAGCAUCACCUGACAUCCCAUACAAUCCUCAGCUACAAUAAAUAAAACAACAUUUUAUGUUUAAAUAAUGAAAAACUAAGAUUUAGGAGAUAUCAACACAAUAAAAUACAAUAUAUAUGUAUACCAAUGAAUAAAGCCAAAACCAGAAACUAAGUUGAAUAAGGCGAGCAUCUUUGAAGAUUGCUAUUUCUCAACAAAAAAAAAAAAUCUUUGAAUAUUGCUAUGAGUAAACUAUCAAAAAUUAUGUGUAUAUAUAUAUAUAUAUUUUAUAGGGAUUAUGUAUAUCAAAAAACUAUCAUCACAUAUUCAACGCAUGUUCUAACAAACAAGACUGAUACUA